rnacentral:rRNA from 1 species
UACAGAGGUCUCAAGCGUUGUUCGGAUUCAUUGGGCGUAAAGGGUGCGUAGGCGGCGCGGUAAGUCGGGUGUGAAAUCUCGGGGCUUAACUCCGAAACUGCAUUCGAUACUGCCGUGCUUGAGGACUGGAGAGGAGACUGGGAAUUUACGGUGUAGCGUGAAAUGCGUAGAUAUCGUAAGGAAGACCAGUGGCGAAGGCGGGUCUCUGGACAGUUC